rnacentral:tRNA from 1 species
CCCUGCCUAGCUCAGCCUGGUAGAGCGCUCGACUGUAGUUCGCGUUCAGAUAUCGAGAGGUUGUGAGUUCAAAUCUCACGGCGGGGACCA